GGAUGCUAGUCUCAUAGAUUUAGCCAUGCAUGUGUAAGCGAAGCGAUUAGUGGAGCGGCGGAAGGCUCAGUAACGGGCGAGUAUUUAAUCUCCAGAACCGGACAACCUCAGGAAACAGAGGGGAAAACGGAGUAAAAGCAUGUUUUGUGCAUGUGAUGAUAACGAUAGUGCAGGAGAGUAAGAAGCCAUCCCAUCAGUUAGUAAGUAGGGUAAGGGCCUAUUUAGACGAAGACGGGUACGGGGGAUCAGGGUUUGGUUCCGGAGAGG
rnacentral:rRNA from 1 species